rnacentral:rRNA from 1 species
GUGACCCCAGGAUGGGCGAGCCACCCGCCGAGUUUAAGCAUAUCAAUAAGCGGAAGA